CACAGCUCCCAUUGAUCCUACUGGGAGUGAGAAGGGUUGCCCUCUGUCAGCCAUCAAGAGACUGUGCUCAGACUGCAAGGGGACAACCGUGGAAUAAAGCAGCAGAUCUGUCAAAUAGGACACUCAUGACGUUUCCGGUUCUCUGGGGCACUGGAGUCGCACUACAAUCCAAAUGUCUUGCUGGGGUAAUGUCUUGAUGAACUUCUAGGAUGUGCAGACAGAUCCAGUCCCAGUGGCUGUUCGGAGGUCACCUGCAGAGGUGCCAUAAUACAAACCACUACAGGACCUA